rnacentral:miRNA from 1 species
CCCGCCACUAACCCAGGGACC